rnacentral:ncRNA from 6 species
AUGCCUCGUCAUCUAAUUAGUGACGCG